rnacentral:rRNA from 1 species
CCAUAUGCACAAUCCUCUGUCGCCAAUCGCCCCUGCAAGAAGCUCGCCUACAAGUUCUUCGGCCCCUUCCUGGUGACAGAACGCAUUGGCACGCUAGCGUAUCGACUGCAACUUCCCCAAGGCAGCAGCAUCCAUCCGGUAUUCCACGUCUCUCAAUUAAAGCCGUUCACUCCAGAUUAUACUCCGGUGUUCUCUGAACUGCCAUGAGUACCGGACCUCACCAGCAAGCAAACUGAACUAGUGGCGAUUCUGCAACGACGCAUGAUGAAGAAAGGGGAUGCCCCUGUUGUGCAACUGCAAGUGCAAUGGGCAAACAUGCCACCAUCAGCCACAACCUGGGAAGACUACGACGUCCUUCGCCAUCGGUACCCAUCAGCUUGCAUCUGGGAAUAG